rnacentral:rRNA from 1 species
UACUCGAGUGGCGAACGGGUGAGUAACACGUGGGUGAUCUGCCCUGCACUUCGGGAUAAGCCUGGGAAACUGGGUCUAAUACCGGAUAGGACCACAUUUUGGAUGGUGUGGUGGAAAGUUUUUCGGUGUGGGAUGAGCUCGCGGCCUAUCAGCUUGUUGGUGGGGUAAUUGCCUACCAAGGCGUCGACGGGUAGCCGGCCUGAGAGGGUGUACGGCCACAUUGGGACUGAGAUACGGCCCAG